rnacentral:rRNA from 1 species
AUUGAACGCUGGCGGAAUGCUUUACACAUGCAAGUCGAGCGGCAGCGCGGGGGCAACCCUGGCGGCGAGCGGCGAACGGGUGAGUAACAUAUCGGAACGUACCCAGUCGUGGGGGAUAACUAUCCGAAAGGAUAGCUAAUACCGCAUACGUCCUGAGGGAGAAAGCGGGGGAUCGCAAGACCUCGCGCGAUUGGAGCGGCCGAUAUCGGAUUAGCUAGUUGGUGGGGGUAAAGGCUCACCAAGGCGACGAUCCGUAGCGGGUCUGAGAGGACGACCCGCCACACUGGAACUGAGACACGGUCCAGACUCCUACGGGAGGCAGCAGUGGGGAAUUUUGGACAAUGGGGGCAACCCUGAUCCAGCCAUUCCGCGUGAGUGAAGAAGGCCUCGGUUGUAAGACUCUUUAGUCAGGGACGAGUAAUGACGGUACC